UACGUAGGGUCCGAGCGUUGUCCGGAGUGACUGGGCGUAAAGCGCGCGCAGGCGGCCUGUUAGGCGCGACGUGAAAGCCCCGGGCUCAACCCGGGAGGGUCGUCGCGAACCGGCGGGCUUGAGGCCGGUAGAGGUGGGUGGAAUUCCUGGUGGAGUGGUGAAAUGCGUAGAGAUCAGGAAGAACACCCGUGGCGAAGGCGGCCCACUGGGCCGGUGCUGACGCUGAGGCGCGAAGGCGUGGGGAGCGAACGGG
rnacentral:rRNA from 1 species